CUAAAACAUCUUCAUAGUCCGCAGACAGAGACGGAGAUUUGCAGCUAAAAUUAAACUCUAGGUUUUAAUUGUUCACCCUGUCUAAAUUCGAUCAUUCCUUUUGAAUUUCUUUGAUGCUCAAUCUAGAUUUUCAAUAAAACCCUAGAAACUGAGAGAGAUUGCACUAGAUCGGUGGUAAGUUUUAUUAUCAGAUACGAAGGGGGAGAUUUAGAACUUCUAUCUUUGAGAAUCAAAUAUCAUUUAAUCAAUUAGAUUUCAUUGAAUUCUUAAUAUUUUUCGAUUUUGUUGUUUUUCAUCAACAGCCAAAAGACAUUUUCAAAUACAAUCGAGGAGAAAGCAAAAUGGUUAUUCAACAUGCUAAAAGGUACAAAACUUCAGUAGAACAAAAAAAGCAAGAAACAAUGCCGCAUAGUUCUUUUCAAGAUUUUGAAGCUGUUAAACCAAAGAAUCAAUGGAGGCCAAAAACAUUUAUACCUCGGUCUCUAUUGGUUUUGAUAUCUCCCCUCCAAAAGGUGGUGAAACUUCAGUGAAUAUAUUGGAUAAUUCUGUGGAAAAGGUGUUCUAAUGGUGAGCCUAAUUCAGGAAGAUUUCAUGCUCUUAAAGAUCACUCAGAGGAACCUGGUGAUAAUGCAAGCAACUCAAGUUGAUGACCCUCCUAUUCUGGAGAAUGAGAUUAUUAUUACUUCAAAUGUUUUGGAUUCUACAAGUGAAGCAAGUAGUUCCUUAUCUAGCUUUGAGGAUGGGGAAAUCAAAGAGGUUAGUUAUUCUUCUAUCAUUCAUAAUAGUAGUAUGCCUAUGUUACCAUCCUAACCAAUACAGAUCCUAAAGGCAAGAAAACUUCACAAGAAAAGAAAAUUCCUCCACCAAAAAA